rnacentral:rRNA from 1 species
GACGAACGCUGGCGGCGUGCUUAACACAUGCAAGUCGAACGGAAAGGCCCUGCUUUUGUGGGGUGCUCGAGUGGCGAACGGGUGAGUAACACGUGAGUAACCUGCCCUUGACUUUGGGAUAACUUCAGGAAACUGGGGCUAAUACCGGAUAGGAGCUCCUGCUGCAUGGUGGGGGUUGGAAAGUUUCGGCGGUUGGGGAUGGACUCGCGGCUUAUCAGCUUGUUGGUGGGGUAGUGGCUUACCAAGGCUUUGACGGGUAGCCGGCCUGAGAGGGUGACCGGCCACAUUGGGACUGAGAUACGGCCCAGACUCCUACGGGAGGCAGCAGUGGGGAAUAUUGCACAAUGGGCGGAAGCCUGAUGCAGCAACGCCGCGUGCGGGAUGACGGCCUUCGGGUUGUAAACCGAUGUCGCCUGUGACGAAGCGUGAGUGACGGUAAUGGGUAAAGAAGCACCGGCUAACUACGUG